AGAGUUUGAUCAUGGCUCAGAACUAACGCUGGCGGCGUGCCUAACACAUGCAAGUCGAGCGGUCACCAAUUUGUAGCAAUACAGAUGAAGUGAUAGCGGCAGACGGGUGAGUAACACGUUGGCAAUCUAUCUUUCCGACCGGGAUAACUAGCCGAAAGGUUAGCUAAUACCUGAUACGAUCACCGAGCGGCAUCGUUUGG
rnacentral:rRNA from 1 species